UCUCAGCUACUGAACUGUCUGUACGCUCACACUGGUGUGGAGCAAAUGGAAGAUACCUUUCUAAUACCAGGUGUCAGCAGAGAAGGCUGGUGGAUAAAAGGACUAGGAGGCGACGUCUUCAGGGAGCAGGACCUGGGCUGUGCUGCGGCGACUUUUCCGCACAUCUGGGAGUCCAGACGAGUCGGCCCUCAGUGACUCUGCUACAUUCACCACUGCUGGAUAAACGUAAAGCUCUUAAGAUGCAAGAACGGCCAACGGAGAGGCAGGUGUGUGGCCAAUGAACAG